ACAUAUUUUAGAGCUAAAAUCAUUUUUAUAAAAUAAUAAAAAUUACUUUCAAAUCCAAAUUCAACUUAUUAUAAAAAUAAGAAUCCUAAAAUAAAUUAAAUGUAACCCAUUCUUUCUUCCUUAUAAACUACACCUUGAUCUGAAUUAUUUUUUUAACAAAAUCUCAAAUAUUAAAUUUCUAUAAAAAUAUUUAUAUAACAACGAUAUGUAAACUAAUAAAGAAAGUAAAUUUAAUCGUGGACUAUCAUUUACAAAACAGGUUCCUCUGAAAAGAUAAAAUACCGCCAGAAUUUUUAAUUUUCAAGAAUAUAUCUAAUACUAAUUUAACUUUUAUAAUUACAUUCCUAAUAAUAGGGUAUCUAAUCCUAGUUUAUUAAUAAAAUUUUUCAACUUCAUUAACUAAUAAAAAAUUUUUAAAAAAUUGAAAUUUCACCUAACAAUUAAUCUUUAUAAUUUUAUAUUUAAAUAAAUUGUUAUUAAUAAAAUUAAAUUAUAUUAUUUGGAUAACCGCA
rnacentral:rRNA from 1 species